rnacentral:rRNA from 1 species
GACGAACGCUGGCGGCGUGCUUAACACAUGCAAGUCGAACGGAAAGGCCCUGCUUUUGUGGGGUGCUCGAGUGGCGAACGGGUGAGUAACACGUGAGUAACCUGCCCUUGACUUUGGGAUAACUUCAGGAAACUGGGGCUAAUACCGGAUAGGAGCUCCUGCUGCAUGGUGGGGGUUGGAAAGUUUCGGCGUUUGGGGAUGGACUCGCGGCUUAUCAGCUUGUUGGUGGGGUAGUGGCUUACCAAGGCUUUGACGGGUAGCCGGCCUGAGAGGGUGACCGGCCACAUUGGGACUGAGAUACGGCCCAGACUCCUACGGGAGGCAGCAGUGGGGAAUAUUGCACAAUGGGCGGAAGCCGGAUGCAGCAACGCCGCGUGCGGGAUGACGGCCUUCGGGUUGUAAACCGCUUUCGCCUGUGACGAAGCGUGAGUGACGGUAAUGGGUAAAGAAGCACCGGCUAACUACGU